rnacentral:lncRNA from 1 species
AAAUAAAGUAAUAUGCACCUAUUCUAGGAUGAUAACAUGGGAGUAUAAUUUAAGAGAAUACCAUAAUCCUACUACUACUAUCAAUAAUACCUUCAGAUGAAAAGAACUUAUUACUUUCCAAGAUGACCUGCUCAGACUAUGAUUCCUUCUCUAUCUCUGGGAGAUGUCAUUCCAACUCUCUCAAGAGUUAGUGAAAGUACCCAGAACAAUUCAUUUCAUUCUCUAAAAAUUACAUUGAAGAGUCUUGGAGGGAGUGCAGAGCCUGAGACCAUCUCCAUUCUCAUGUAG